CGGGAAGUGGCUCAGUUGGUAGAGCAUCUGACUUGUAAUCAGAGGGUCGCAGGUUCAAAUCCUGUCUUCCCGA
rnacentral:tRNA from 1 species